rnacentral:rRNA from 1 species
UACGAAGGGGGCUAGCGUUGCUCGGAAUCACUGGGCGUAAAGCGCACGUAGGCGGACUCUUAAGUCGGUGGUGAAAUCCUGGAGCUCAACUCCAGAACUGCCUUCGAUACUGAGAGUCUCGAGUCCGGGAGAGGUGAGUGGAACUGCGAGUGUAGAGGUGAAAUUCGUAGAUAUUCGCAAGAACACCAGUGGCGAAGGCGGCUCACUGGCCCGGUACUGACGCUGAGGUGCGAAAGCGUGGGGAG